AUCAGCCUUCUGUUGUUCCAGCUCCGGUCAGGGGCAGUGCUUCAGCGGAUUCGUGGAAAUUUGUGACAGCUCCGCAAACAGUGACCGACGUAUAUUUUUUUACUAGUGAAUGAAGUAAUGAACAGCUUUAUUUUGAUCAGGAUUAAACAUACCUUUGUUCUCAAAGAUGGCGAUUGGGUGACAGAAGCACCAUUAAUGAGUCGAAGAAGGGAGUCUGCUUAGGAAAAGGAACAGUGUGUGGCUUGGUUGAUUGAAACGAAGCCAGACACCCAAGUUCACGGAAAUUUCAGAACGAGGUAUGGGAAACUAUCACCCUCUCGGCCCUCCAGAAGAAAAUCACACAGGAGCUUCAUGGUAACAGCUGGCUGGCUGGUGUUUUGGAGUAAGCGCUACCUUUCCACCCCCGGGUACCGGGGCUGUGAAAUCCUGGAUAGCUGGAGGUAACUUCGGGUCGAAGCUCGAGAAGUGGAUCAUGUACGAACUGCUGACUUCCGCCUUCCGCUCUUGGCUUCUCCAAGUUAAGUUAUCGUUCCGCCUUCGAGCGACCUGGCGUCACUGCUCGCUAAUUAAUUCUCGUGCUAAUUAUGUUUACUGGGGUUAUUAUUAUAUUUAUAAAACUUUGUCUGAAGAGCAACAUACAAUUGUGAAUUAAUUUUCAGCCGUCAGGCUCAUAAUUGUUAGUGAUUUUAAAAUUUUCUUAUAUACGAGAUUUGUUUCAUAAAAGAUGUUGGUAGCAGGUUAAGAUAUUGGUGUUUUAAAGCAAUUUGUUUAUGUGAUUGUUAAAU